rnacentral:rRNA from 1 species
GCGUAAUAGCUCACUGGUCGAGUCGGCCUGCGCGGAAGAUGUAACGGGGCUAAACCCUGCACCGAAGCUGCGGCAGCGUCACUAAGUGUUGUUGGGAAGGGGAGCGUUCUGUAAGCCUGUGAAGGUGGCCUGUGAGGGUUGCUGGAGGUAUCAGAAGUGCGAAUGCUGACAUAAGUAACGAUAAAGCGGGUGAAAAGCCCGCUCGCCGGAAGACCAA